GACAGAGGAAUCAAUUCGUUCAAAGAAUCUCAUUUGUUCUGCUCGAUGUGGCGACUCUCGCUAUUGCAGGGGGUUAUUUUAUUGUGUUAAUAAAGAAGAAUUUGUGCGACAAGGAAGACAACAAAUCCAAUCUCAUACUUAUCUUCAAUAAUACUAAUCAUCCACAGAUUUUAUGGAACCUGUGCAUAGAAAUGAGAUUGUAGUUCCAGAUACACCAAGUGAUUCUUUGAUUUCUCCGGACAAGAAACGGAAAAAGAUAAUUUACCCAAACAAUGCACGAAAUGAUAAAGGUACAAUGCAAACUAUCUGUUUAUUUAUUAAUAUAUAGUCAUUCAUUAUUCUAACCAUAUACAAUAUUAUAUUUUAUAUUCUUUACUUAGGCAAGAUACCAAUUUCAUUCCGUGCUGCUAGUCAACUGAAUCAAAGUAGCAUAACUAAUUGUAUGUU